rnacentral:lncRNA from 1 species
GGGCCUGACCAAGGGCAUCGAGGGUUUAUUCAAGAAGAACAAGGUGACCUACGCCAAGGGUUGGGGAUCGCUCACGUCCACCCCCGGCGAGGUGGUCGUCGCCAAGGAGGACGGCACCACGCAGACGAUCAGCGCCAAGAACAUCAUCCUCGCCACGGGCUCCGAACCCGCGGCGCUCCCGGGCGUGGAGGUUGACGAGGAGACGAUCGUCACCUCCACCGGGGCGCUCGACCUGAAGGAGGUGCCCAAGAGAAUGGUCGUCAUCGGCGGCGGCGUCAUCGGGCUGGAGCUCGGAAGCGUGUGGAGCCGCCUCGGGUCGCAGGUGACCGUGAUCGAGUUCGCCAAAGACAUCUGCCCGCCGA